AGGUUAAAACGUUUCCAACACCUGUGGAGAAAAGGAUGAUCUUCUACGACCUGAUGCAACCAAUCACUGCUCAGUACUGGCGUCUCAAAUCAGCUGAGGAUAAAUGGGUUGGAGUAACUGAGUUUGCUUUGAAACCUUUGAUUACACCCUGAAUAAACGCAAGCGAAACGUCAUUCCUCCGCAUCUUAUUACCACGAAGUGCAAAGUUGCAUCUGUUUUAUAUUUUUUAUUCUAUUGCCAGUAAUUAUAAUAUGUAGUUGGGAAACUAUUAUUGAUUUUAAUAAAGUGUUUUAAAGUACCAUUUAUUCAUUGAACAAAUUUUUCAUUUGUUGUCUGACUAUUGGUAAGAAACAAACAACUGGCAUAAUUAGAGAAUUCUAAAUUUGGUCGCAUGCAAGUGGGUGUGAACAGAACUAUAUUUUGUCUUUAGGAAUUAAUAAAAUUUUUACUGCCCUUUUCAAGAACGAAGAGAAUUAAAAUAA